UCUAACACUGUGCAUCAUCUACCUUUCCCCUUUGUCCUGAAAGAAUCUAAGUGACUCAAAAUUUGCAAUUACUUAUCUGAAUAUAUUAUACGUACUUUCUCUUCUUCUUAAGUACUUAAAUCCCUUUUUUGAUUUGAUUUUUACUGGAAGUGUGUUAGUUUAGAAUAUUAACUAUGAGAUUUGAAUGAUUUGGAUCUGUUCUUUAUCUGUGUUUUUAUUCAUUUGUUGGCUAUAAGAUUAGGGUUUGUAUGUUAAAUCUAAUUUUAACUAUAAUUGCUUUAAAAAUUCUUCCCAUUUUCUGUAUUGUGAUAUUAUCCCCAACGCUGUUGCUUUUUGUUGUUGUUUGUUCAGGUUAUAUUUGCAUUUGUUUGUUACAGAUCAGAUUAGAGAUAACCAAAAGAAGUGUAACAACUUUUGGAAAGUUAAUUAGAAAGGUAAUCAUUCAAUAUCUGAGUAUGCCCUCCAAAUUCGAGAGCAUGCACUUCGAAUUCGAGCUAUAGCUGAUUUUCUGUUAACUGUUGGUGAUCCUAUAUUUGAAAGGGACGGAAUAGAUGCAAUAUGCAGAUAUGAAGGCGCCAUAUGUCGGGCUUUAUGUCGGACUUUUUGGUUCUCCGUCAUGGUCCACUAUCCACCAUAGAUAUCACUGCUGUCUUAUGUAUUUUAUUUCCUGUUAUGCUGAUUAUUUUUAGAUGGAGUAAAUGGUGAUAUUUUCACUAUGAUAUGAGCAGUUUUAAUAGUAUUAUUGAUGGAAAUAUGCUUCUUAAAGCUAGAUUUGACAAAUACAAGAGGGUUCUUUCAUGAGAUGCUUACAUGGAUGAAUGAACCACAUCUAUUUAUAGGGGAUCUGAAUUCUGAAGGCAAACCUCCCGUCUGCACUAUCUAUUUAAAGACUUGCCUCUGAAGCCUAGGAUUUUUGCCACCCUGAAAUGAUGUGCAUAGGAUAAUCUUCAGUUUGAAGUUGGACACUAAUUCCGGCCUCAAGUUCAUCUCGUUGAAGCUUAAUUCUCUCUCACACGGAACGGGAGGAUGAAGGAGUGUCCACCUGAUCCAAGAUCUGUAGCACUUCCUUGAUGCAGACUACAGACAAGUGGUCGAUAGCCUUCCGGCACCGAAUGUCACUGCCAACCUGCUUAAAUCCCCUUUAAUCAGGAAUAUUAUUUUUACAGUGCCAAUCAAAGCGCCGGCGAUGUCUGAUAUUGAAAUAAAUGUCAAAAAAAUAAUUUCCGAAAGAGAAAUGAUUUCAUGUUUGAAGAAUUACUUUUAGAAUGGAAUCUCAACAAGAUAGAAAUAUAUUUCAUAAUUGCCUCUCAAUUUUGAAAGUGGAGGUUGGUUCUAGUAAUAAUCAAGGGGAAGAAUUGGUUUGAAGUUUACCCACUGUGUGAUAAGAGUUUUUUUUAUAGAAAAAGGGAAACUCAACGAAAGACUUAUUCUAAAAGAACAGAUUUCAAAGUUGGAUGUCGCCAUCUAUGGACAAAAGUAUGAUAUGUCCUUCAUACGUGUGCCUCCCCCUGUGCUUAUUUCAACCUCUUUAUCAAGUAAAUUAUUCCUCUUAUGAGUUAUUCAGUGAUCUACGCGGUUGUUGUAUUUACUUCUUCCUUUUCUAUAAUGCCAAAAAGGGAGGAUACUUUCAAGAGGAGUAAAUUAUACUCUCUUUAUUUAUGAGGGAGAUUUUAACCA